GGUUAAGCGACUAAGCGUACACGGUGGAUGCCCUGGCAGUCAGAGGCGAUGAAGGACGUGCUAAUCUGCGAUAAGCGUCGGUAAGGUGAUAUGAACCGUUAUAACCGGCGAUUUCCGAAUGGGGAAACCCAGUGUGUUUCGACACACUAUCAUUAACUGAAUCCAUAGGUUAAUGAGGCGAACCGGGGGAACUGAAACAUCUAAGUACCCCGAGGAAAAGAAAUCAACCGAGAUUCCCCCAGUAGCGGCGAGCGAACGGGGAGGAGCCCAGAGCCUGAAUCAGUGUGUGUGUUAGUGGAAGCGUCUGGAAAGGCGCGCGAUACAGGGUGACAGCCCCGUACACAAAAAUGCACAUGCUGUGAGCUCGAUGAGUAGGGCGGGACACGUGGUAUCCUGUCUGAAUAUGGGGGGACCAUCCUCCAAGGCUAAAUACUCCUGACUGACCGAUAGUGAACCAGUACCGUGAGGGAAAGGCGAAAAGAACCCCGGCGAGGGGAGUGAAAAAGAACCUGAAACCGUGUACGUACAAGCAGUGGGAGCACGCUUAGGCGUGUGACUGCGUACCUUUUGUAUAAUGGGUCAGCGACUUAUAUUCUGUAGCAAGGUUAACCGAAUAGGGGAGCCGAAGGGAAACCGAGUCUUAACUGGGCGUUAAGUUGCAGGGUAUAGACCCGAAACCCGGUGAUCUAGCCAUGGGCAGGUUGAAGGUUGGGUAACACUAACUGGAGGACCGAACCGACUAAUGUUGAAAAAUUAGCGGAUGACUUGUGGCUGGGGGUGAAAGGCCAAUCAAACCGGGAGAUAGCUGGUUCUCCCCGAAAGCUAUUUAGGUAGCGCCUCGUGAAUUCAUCUCCGGGGGUAGAGCACUGUUUCGGCAAGGGGGUCAUCCCGACUUACCAACCCGAUGCAAACUGCGAAUACCGGAGAAUGUUAUCACGGGAGACACACGGCGGGUGCUAACGUCCGUCGUGAAGAGGGAAACAACCCAGACCGCCAGCUAAGGUCCCAAAGUCAUGGUUAAGUGGGAAACGAUGUGGGAAGGCCCAGACAGCCAGGAUGUUGGCUUAGAAGCAGCCAUCAUUUAAAGAAAGCGUAAUAGCUCACUGGUCGAGUCGGCCUGCGCGGAAGAUGUAACGGGGCUAAACCAUGCACCGAAGCUGCGGCAGCGACACUGUGUGUUGUUGGGUAGGGGAGCGUUCUGUAAGCCUGUGAAGGUGUACUGUGAGGUAUGCUGGAGGUAUCAGAAGUGCGAAUGCUGACAUAAGUAACGAUAAAGCGGGUGAAAAGCCCGCUCGCCGGAAGACCAAGGGUUCCUGUCCAACGUUAAUCGGGGCAGGGUGAGUCGACCCCUAAGGCGAGGCCGAAAGGCGUAGUCGAUGGGAAACAGGUUAAUAUUCCUGUACUUGGUGUUACUGCGAAGGGGGGACGGAGAAGGCUAUGUUGGCCGGGCGACGGUUGUCCCGGUUUAAGCGUGUAGGCUGGUUUUCCAGGCAAAUCCGGAAAAUCAAGGCUGAGGCGUGAUGACGAGGCACUACGGUGCUGAAGCAACAAAUGCCCUGCUUCCAGGAAAAGCCUCUAAGCAUCAGGUAACAUCAAAUCGUACCCCAAACCGACACAGGUGGUCAGGUAGAGAAUACCAAGGCGCUUGAGAGAACUCGGGUGAAGGAACUAGGCAAAAUGGUGCCGUAACUUCGGGAGAAGGCACGCUGAUAUGUAGGUGAAGUCCCUCGCGGAUGGAGCUGAAAUCAGUCGAAGAUACCAGCUGGCUGCAACUGUUUAUUAAAAACACAGCACUGUGCAAACACGAAAGUGGACGUAUACGGUGUGACGCCUGCCCGGUGCCGGAAGGUUAAUUGAUGGGGUUAGCGCAAGCGAAGCUCUUGAUCGAAGCCCCGGUAAACGGCGGCCGUAACUAUAACGGUCCUAAGGUAGCGAAAUUCCUUGUCGGGUAAGUUCCGACCUGCACGAAUGGCGUAAUGAUGGCCAGGCUGUCUCCACCCGAGACUCAGUGAAAUUGAACUCGCUGUGAAGAUGCAGUGUACCCGCGGCAAGACGGAAAGACCCCGUGAACCUUUACUAUAGCUUGACACUGAACAUUGAGCCUUGAUGUGUAGGAUAGGUGGGAGGCUUUGAAGUGUGGACGCCAGUCUGCAUGGAGCCGACCUUGAAAUACCACCCUUUAAUGUUUGAUGUUCUAACGUUGACCCGUAAUCCGGGUUGCGGACAGUGUCUGGUGGGUAGUUUGACUGGGGCGGUCUCCUCCUAAAGAGUAACGGAGGAGCACGAAGGUUGGCUAAUCCUGGUCGGACAUCAGGAGGUUAGUGCAAUGGCAUAAGCCAGCUUGACUGCGAGCGUGACGGCGCGAGCAGGUGCGAAAGCAGGUCAUAGUGAUCCGGUGGUUCUGAAUGGAAGGGCCAUCGCUCAACGGAUAAAAGGUACUCCGGGGAUAACAGGCUGAUACCGCCCAAGAGUUCAUAUCGACGGCGGUGUUUGGCACCUCGAUGUCGGCUCAUCACAUCCUGGGGCUGAAGUAGGUCCCAAGGGUAUGGCUGUUCGCCAUUUAAAGUGGUACGCGAGCUGGGUUUAGAACGUCGUGAGACAGUUCGGUCCCUAUCUGCCGUGGGCGCUGGAGAACUGAGGGGGGCUGCUCCUAGUACGAGAGGACCGGAGUGGACGCAUCACUGGUGUUCGGGUUGUCAUGCCAAUGGCACUGCCCGGUAGCUAAAUGCGGAAGAGAUAAGUGCUGAAAGCAUCUAAGCACGAAACUUGCCCCGAGAUGAGUUCUCCCUGACUCCUUGAGAGUCCUGAAGGAACGUUGAAGACGACGACGUUGAUAGGCCGGGUGUGUAAGCGCAGCGAUGCGUUGAGCUAACCGGUACUAAUGAACCGUGAGGCUUAACCUU
rnacentral:rRNA from 1 species